GGGGAUGAAAGGCUUCGACAAAAUAAGUUCUCGUACCUUGCAAGCCGAGCCGAUUGACUCGCUAAUCCAAUCAAAAACAACAACUGCUAACAAAAAUGCAGUGCCGGCGUUAGCCUUUGCUUAAUGUCGGUCUCUCCGCCAAGGCUUUAGUAGCCGGCGGACAUCAGCCCUUGACGCCUCAAAAAGGACCACUGGUGUUAUAACGAGGCUCGCUUCCUGCAAAAUGGUCUAAUAACAGAAAGUUAAACUAUAAGACCACAACUGUUCUCGUAAGAAAACUAAGCUUGUAGAAAAGGUAAGUGAACCGUUUUGGACGCGGGUUCAACUCCCGCCAUCUCCACCA
rnacentral:tmRNA from 4 species